ACGCGAGCUGGGUUCAGAACGUCGUGAGACAGUUCGGUCCCUAUCCGUCGCAGGCGUAGGAAAUUUGAGAAGACCUGUCCUUAGUACGAGAGGACCGGGAUGGACGUACCUCUGGUGUACCAGUUGUCCUGCCAAGGGCAUGGCUGGGUAGCUAUGUACGGAAUGGAUAAGCGCUGAAAGCAUCUAAGCGCGAAGCCAACUUCAAGAUAAGA
rnacentral:rRNA from 1 species